CCUACGGGCGGCUGCAGUGAGGAAUAUUGGUCAAUGGGCGCGAGCCUGAACCAGCCAAGUAGCGUGAAGGAUGACUGCCCUACGGGUUGUAAACUUCUUUUAUAAAGGAAUAAAGUGAGGCACGUGUGCCUUUUUGUAUGUACUUUAUGAAUAAGGAUCGGCUAACUCCGUGCCAGCAGCCGCGGUAAUACGGAGGAUCCGAGCGUUAGCCGGAUUUAUUGGGUUUAAAGGGAGCGUAGAUGGGUUGUUAGGUAAGUUGGGAAUGUUUGCGGCUCAACCGUAAAAUUGCAAUUGAUACUGGCAGCCUUGAGUACAGUUGAGGUAGGCGGAAUUCGUGGUGUAGCGGUGAAAUGCAUAGAUAUCACGAAGAACUCCGAUUGCGAAGGCAGCCUACUAAACUGCCACUGACGUUGAUGCUCGAAAGUGUGGGUAUCAAACAGGAUUAGAUACCCGAGUAGUC
rnacentral:rRNA from 1 species